AUAUCAAUAAGCGGAGGAAAAGAAACUAACAAGGAUUCCCCUAGUAACGGCGAGUGAAGCGGGAAGAGCUCAAAUUUAAAAUCUGGCGGUCUCAGGCUGUCCGAGUUGUAAUCUAGAGAGGUGUUUUCCGUACCGGACCGUGUAAAAGUCCCUUGGAACAGGGCGUCAUAGAGGGUGAGAAUCCCGUCCAUGACACGGACUACCAGUGCUCUGUGAUACACCUUCAAAGAGUCGAGUUGUUUGGGAAUGCAGCUCAAAAUGGGUGGUAAAUUCCAUCUAAAGCUAAAUACAGGCGAGAGACCGAUAGCGAACAAGUACCGUGAGGGAAAGAUGAAAAGAACUUUGGAAAGAGAGUUAAACAGUACGUGAAAUUGUUGAAAGGGAAACACUUGCUACCAGACACGCCUGUAGUUGAUCAGCCUCCAUUUUUGGUGGUGCACUUAGCUAUAGGUGGGUCAGCAUCAGUUAUGGCGGUGGGAUAAAGACCGUGGGAAUGUAGCUUCUUUCGGGAAGUGUUAUAGCCCGCGGUGUAAUACCAUCUAUUGUGACUGAGGCCCGCGCUUCGGCGAGGAUGCUGGCAUAAUGGUCGUAAGUGA
rnacentral:rRNA from 1 species